rnacentral:rRNA from 1 species
AUUGAACGCUGGCGGCAGGCCUAACACAUGCAAGUCGAACGAGAGGCGGACGGGUGAGUAAUGUCUGGGAAACUGCCCGAUGGAGGGGGAUAACUACUGGAAACGGUAGCUAAUACCGCAUACCAUCGGAUGACCCCAGAUGGGAUUAGCUAGGAGGUGGGGUAAAGGCUCACCUAGGCGACGAUCCCUAGCUGGUCUGAGAGGAUGACCAGCCACACUGGGACUGAGACACGGUCCAGACUCCUACGGGAGUCAGCAGUGGGGAAUAUUGCACAAUGGGCGCAAGCCUGAUGCAGCCAUGCCGCGUGUAUGAAGAAGGCCUUAGGGUUGUAAAGUACUUUCAGCGAGGAGGCGUUACUCGCAGAAGAAGCACCGGCUAACUCCGUGCCAGCCGCCGCGGUAAUUC